UACGUAGGGUGCGAGCGUUAAUCGGAAUUACUGGGCGUAAAGCGUGCGCAGGCGGUUUUUGUAAGCCAGAUGUGAAAUCCCCCGGGCUUAACCUGGGAAAUGGCGUCUGAAACUACGGAGCUGGAGUGUGGCAGAGGGAGGUAGAAUUCCACGUGUAGCGGUGAAAUGCGUAGAUAUGUGGAGGAAUACCGAUGGCGAAGGCAGCCUCCUGGGCCAACACUGACGCUCAUGCACGAAAGCGUGGGGAGCAAACAGG
rnacentral:rRNA from 1 species